rnacentral:rRNA from 1 species
AAAGCUCAAAUUUGAAAUCUAGCACUUUCAGUGUUCGAGUUGUAAUUUGAAGAAGGUAUCUUUGGAGUUGGCCCCCGUCUAUGUUCCUUGGAACAGGACGUCACAGAGGGUGAGAAUCCCGUGCGAUGGGGAGACCAAUUCUAUGUAAAGUUCCUUCGAAGAGUCGAGUUGUUUGGGAAUGCAGCUCUAAGUGGGUGGUAAAUUCCAUCUAAAGCUAAAUAUUGGCGAGAGACCGAUAGCGAACAAGUACAGUGAUGGAAAGAUGAAAAGAACUUUGAAAAGAGAGUGAAAAAGUACGUGAAAUUGUUGAAAGGGAAGGGCUUUUGAUCAGACUUGGUGUUUAGUACUCUCUACUCCUUGUGGGUGGGGCUCUUGCUUUAUACUGGGCCAGCAUCGGUUUGGAUGGUAGGAUAAUAGCAUUGGAAUGUGGCUUCAUUCGUGAAGUGUUAUAGCCUUUGUUGAUACUACCUAUCUAGACCGAGGACUGCGUCUUUUGACUAGGAUGCUGGCGUAAUGAUUAAAAGCC